rnacentral:rRNA from 2 species
UGGGGGAUAUUAGGCAAUGGGGGAAACCCUGACCUAGCAACGCCGCGUGAAGGAAGAAGGUUCUCGGAUUGUAAACUUCUUUUAUUCGGGACGAAGAAAGUGACGGUACCGAAUGAAUAAGCCACGGCUAACUACGUGCCAGCAGCCGCGGUAAUACGUAGGUGGCAAGCGUUGUCCGGAUUUACUGGGUGUAAAGGGCGAGUAGGCGGGUCAACAAGUCAGAUGUGAAAUACCGAAGCUUAACUUCGGGGCUGCAUUUGAAACUGUUGGUCUUGAGUGAUGGAGAGGCAGGCGGAAUUCCCGGUGUAGCGGUGAAAUGCAUAGAGAUCGGGAGGAACACCAGUGGCGAAGGCGGCCUGCUGGACAUUAACUGACGCUGAGGCGCGAAAGUGUGGGGAGCAAACAGG